rnacentral:rRNA from 2 species
UUAAUUGAAGAGUUUGAUCAUGGCUCAGAUUGAACGCUGGCGGCAGGCCUAACACAUGCAAGUCGAGCGGAAACGAGAGGUGCUUGCACCUCGGCGUCGAGCGGCGGACGGGUGAGUAAUGCCUGGGAAUUUGCCCAGUUGUGGGGGAUAACCAUUGGAAACGAUGGCUAAUACCGCAUAAACCCUACGGGGAAAAGGGGAGGCUCUUCGGACUUCUCGCAAUUGG